GAAUUGAGAGUUAGUGAUGGCGUGGGUGUAAAGUCUUUAAUGCAACUUGUGUUAGUGAUUAGAUAAAUAAAAUAGAAUAGAAUAGAAGUCCAUAUAUGUAUUUGUUGCUGCAAUAAGCAAUAAGCUACUUCGGACCUAUCUCAGCUGCCAAUAAGGUUAGAAAUCAGUAUCGUUUGUCCAUAUAUGUAUUUGUUGCUGCAAAUCAAUGGCUUAUUGAAUUCUGUUUUUGGCUGCAGUUUUUCUCAUCAAAUGGUUUUCCUUGCCCAAGUCUCUAAUUUACAAUGUUCUCUUUGCCUCGUGCUCUCUCCUACCAGGGAGCUAGCUCAACAAGAAUCCGACAAUAUCAGAGGGUGAAUACCAACAAGAGAUUUGUGUUAGUUCCAUUUUUCUUGAAGGUGAGGAUAUAAAUAUGAGCAUUUCACAUGCUGCUGAUUCUAUUGGUUUGAAAGAGAUACCAAGAUAUGAAGUUAAAAUUAUUGAGGAGGAUGACUGGAUGAAAGGAGCUCAGGUCUCCUACUUUGUUUCCUUGA